rnacentral:rRNA from 1 species
GACGAACGCUGGCGGCGUGCUUAACACAUGCAAGUCGAACGGAAAGGCCCUGCUUUUGUGGGGUGCUCGAGUGGCGAACGGGUGAGUAACACGUGAGUAACCUGCCCUUGACUUUGGGAUAACUUCAGGAAACUGGGGCUAAUACCGGAUAGGAGCUCCUGCUGCAUGGUGGGGGUUGGAAAGUUUCGGCGGUUGGGGAUGGACUCGCGGCUCAUCAGCUUGUUGGUGGGGUAGUGGCUUACCAAGGCUUUGACGGGUAGCCGGCCUGAGAGGGUGACCGGCCACAUUGGGACUGCGAUACGGCCCAGACUCCUACGGGAGGCAGCAGUGGGGAAUAUUGCACAAUGGGCGGAAGCCUGAUGCAGCAACGCCGCGUGCGGGAUGACGGCCUUCGGGUUGUAAACCGCUUUCGCCUGUGACGAAGCGUGAGUGACGGUAAUGGGUAAAGAAGCACCGGCUAACUACGUG